rnacentral:rRNA from 1 species
UACGGGGGGGGCAAGCGUUGUUCGGAAUUACUGGGCGUAAAGGGUUUGUAGGUGGCCAACUAAGUCAGACGUGAAAUCCCUCAGCUUAACUGGGGAACUGCGUCUGAGACUGGAUGGCUUGAGUGCAGGAGAGGAACGCGGAAUUCCAGGUGUAGCGGUGAAAUUCGUAGAUAUCGAGAGGAACACCGGUGGCGAAGGCGGCCUUCUGGACAGUGACUGACGCUGAGACGCGAAAGCGUGGGGAGCAAACAGG